CAGGAACCAAUGCAAGCUGAAUUCAGUUGAAAACGGCCAGAAACGGCCAACCCUAGAUGGAUCGCCGCCGUGGGCAGCGACACCGUCACCGGAGCACUGCGGAGCCGCCGUGCCGGAAUUCUGAAAUUGGCCGAAUAGGCCCUGGGUCUUAUUUGGGAUUUUUGGGGACAUGUGCAGGUACCGGAAGUGUAUUUCAGUUUUAGGGAAAAAAUUCAGGGAAUCUAAGGACUGCCCAUAGGCGCAGUAAGAAACCGAUUUCAGACUCCGAAACAAGUAAGGAUUCAUCACCUUAAUUCCUAUCACGGGAUUAAAGCUUAAUAAAUGAUAAAAUAGUAUUUUAUGAAUUAAUAG
rnacentral:lncRNA from 1 species